GGUGAGGCGGGAGGGCGAGCCUGUAGUGGGCUCUCGGUUCUGGCGUCAAG
ensembl:miRNA